rnacentral:rRNA from 1 species
AUCUGAAGCAUUAUCUCCUUAAAUGUGCUUCAUCCCAUCUGACUAGGGAAGCUAAGCAGGGUUGGGCUUGGUUAGUGCUUGGAUGGGAGACCUAACAGAUGCUGUUGGCUUACAAA